rnacentral:misc_RNA from 1 species
UACGGAGGGUGCGGGCGUUAAUCGGAAUUACUGGGCGUAAAGCGCGCGUAGGUGGCUUGAUAAGACGGUUGUGAAAGCCCCGGGCUCAACCUGGGAACGGCAUACGGAACUGUCAGGCUAGAGUGCAGGAGAGGAAGGUAGAAUUCCCGGUGUAGCGGUGAAAUGCGUAGAGAUUGGGAGGAAUACCAGUGGCGAAGGCGGCCUUCUGGACUGACACUGACACUGAGGUGCGAAAGCGUGAGGAGCAAACAGG